UCCUCGGGUGAGGAUUAACAACAACAAAAAAAAAACAGAACAAACCAAAAAAAAUUGUAGAAAGAAAACUAUAAAUGUCCUCAGAAAAAUAACCAGAAGAAUAUACAUUAAAAUGUUCAUAGCAAAUGUCCCCAAAGGAAAAUGUACAGAUUAUACUACACCUAAACAACAAUAAUAUGGAUGGAUUUUACUUUUGUAAUGUUAAAUUAAAAGAUCAAGUACCAGAAGACUAUGUAUAACUAGAUAUCCUUUAUAUCUUAUUUAAAAACAAGUAAAACUAAUAACUAUAGGGUGUCCCAAAAAUGUAUACACAUACUUUGAAUAAUUAUAAAGGCAGUGUUUAUUAAAAUGCAUUUCAUUUUCAAAAUCGAGCUAUCAGCUGUUAUAGUGUCUAUACACUUUUUGGGAUGUGCUGUAUAUUAUUUAGGCAUACAUAUAUAUUUUGGAUUAAAAUAUAUUAUUUAAAAAGCCAAGGAAUAUCAAUAAAAAGUUAGGAUAGUGGUCUUUGGAGUUGAGGAAAUGGGGCCGCAGUAGGAGAGGAUCAUAGAAGUGGAUUGAAGUUAUUGUCAGUAUUCUAGUGCUCAGGUUCAAUGGGUGAGUGUUCAUUAUGUAAUUAAAAGCAUACUAUUGACUUUAAUAAUUGUAUGAUUAUAAUGAAAAUUAAAUAAAGGACAAGUUAAUGCAUAAAAAAUAAAAGAGGGCCAUGCAUGGAUCACUGAGACAAUGUGCAUGAUCUAUGAUAGCGUACAUGAAUUAUUUAUAAUCCAGUUUUAUGCAAUUGAAUUUUAUGAUAUUUUCUUAAGCAAUUAUCUCUGGGGGUUGGGAAUACAUGUACUUUUUAUUCUCUUGUGGCUUUUUAUUCUCUAAAUUUUCUGGAAAAACAAGCCCAAAAUUACAUAGAAUAAGAAUCAUAUCUGUAAAAAAAUACAUAACAGGGACUUAAAAGAAAGUGUUGACAUGUUAAUAAUAAUUGCCUCUGUGUAGUGAAAUUUCAUAUAGUUUUUUAUGUUUCCUUAGAGUUUUUUUAAUCCAAGUGUUAUAGAGUGAGAUUGUGUUAUUUUUUCUGUUACAAAAGUCACAUAUGCUUCUCAUAGGGUUAAAAGGGCAGUAGUAUGUAAAGAAAGAAAUAAAAAUACCCUUCUCCCAGGCAUGAUGAUUUAUUUGCUCUGAAUCUUACAAGAACUUUUUCUGUUUAUAUGCAUGUGUUCUUGUGUGUUUUAUAAUAUGAAUCAUGCUAUACCUACACCAGGUUCUCAAAUAAUGUUUCAUUCAAUCUUGUUUUGUUAAAAUUGAUGAGAAAAAUCGAUUCCUGGACAGGGCCACUCCAUGUGGUUUGCAUGUUCUCUCCAUGUCUGCGUGGAUUUUCUCCAGGGACUCCGGUGUCUUCCCACAUCCCCAAAUGUGCAUAUGACAUGAAGUGGUGUGUCUAUAUUGUCCCAGUCUGAGUGAGUAUAGAUGUGUGUGAGAGGCCCUGCCAUGGAAGGGCAUCCUGUCCAGGGUGGAUCCCGUCUUGUGUCCUGAGGAGAGGAUCCAGUCACCCAUGACCUUGAACUGGAAUAAAAAGAUGAAUUAUAGAAUUAACUCAUCAACUUCAGUAAAAAGAAAAAAAUCCCUGGAAGUGCCUCGGAAAUUUUGAGUCACCUAGCAAGAACUGGCAUUUGUACAAUAAAGGGUUUUGCAUUUAUCUUAUAUCCAGGCAUCAUUUUAAACUCUGUUCUUAGCUCUAUGUUUGUUCCCAGUUAAUUAUCUUUAAUUCCUAGUUGUACAAUCAUGUCAGUUGUAAAUAAGAAAACGUUUGUCUUUUCAUUUCUAAUGUUUGUUUCUAAUUUGGUUUUCCUUUUGACGCAUUGGUAAAGAUCUGUGACUUCCAGGAGAAUGCUGAUUUAUAUUGAUUAAUAAAGAUGAGGCCUCCUC